rnacentral:rRNA from 1 species
UCGAGGAUCUUCGGCAAUGGGCGCAAGCCUGACCGAGCGACGCCGCGUGUGGGAUGAAGGCCUUCGGGUUGUAAACCACUGUCGUAGGGGAGGAAAUGCAGGUGGGUUCUCCCAUCUGUUUGACCUAUCCUAGGAGGAAGUACGGGCUAAGUUCGUGCCAGCAGCCGCGGUAAGACGAACCGUACGAACGUUAUUCGGAAUUACUGGGCUUAAAGGGUGCGUAGGCUGUGCAGAAAGUUGGGUGUGAAAUACCUCGGCUUAACCGAGGAAUGGCGCUCAAAACUACUGCGCUCGAGGGAGACAGAGGUGAGCGGAACUUAGGGUGGAGCGGUGAAAUGCGUUGAUAUCCUAAGGAACACCGGUGGCGAAAGCGGCUCACUGGGUCUCUUCUGACGCUGAGGCACGAAAGCUAGGGUAGCGAACGG